rnacentral:rRNA from 1 species
GACAGAGGGUGCAAACGUUGUUCGGAAUUACUGGGCGUAAAGGGCGUGUAGGCGGUUUGUUAAGUCAUGUGUGAAAUCCCCCGGCUCAACCGAGGAACGACGCAUGAAACUGGCAAGCUAGAGUACCGAAGAGGGGGGUGGAAUUCCCGGUGUAGCGGUGAAAUGCGUAGAUAUUGGGAGGAACACCGGUGGCGAAGGCGGCCCCCUGGACCGGAACUGACGCUGAGGCGCGAAAGCGUGGGUAGCAAACGGG